GGUCGGCGAGUCAGAUAAGCAAUCGCUUCCUUUCGUAUGGCAUCAGGCUCCGCGCCGAAGGCUGUCCGUCUGCCGUCUAACCUUUCCCGCUCUGGAAGGACGACGACGACAAGGCGGAUGGCCGUGGCGCGGUGGCCGUCGGAGGCGCCUUGAGUUUUCGCGGAUCUCUGUGAUCCCCGUGACUUUAAGUGCACGCUGCGCUGUCCACCCAUCUCGUGAGUCCCGCUGCUCGGAACAGCUCUGACAACAUCGCUCUGGUUGUCUUCCGGGCGCUGUGGCUUUGCGAGGGAGGGGAGAAUUUGUUUCUCGUUCCCCUUUCCGACGCCGCCGCCGACGUGCUGGACUCGGAUUGAUCGGAUAUCAUCGAGCCACCGGCGUGCUGGAGGUGUCCGGACAGGUGUGAGAAAUGGGAAGUUCGUGGCGGCGCCCGGUCCAGUCAGACAAGCAAAAGCUCGGUGCGCUGCGGCGCUGCGGCAUCUGAGCCCUGCUUUCUUUACUGCAUCCGACCUCAGAUCGGACGAGAUUACCCGCUGAAUUUAAGCAUAUAACUAAGCGGAGGAAAAGAAACUAACAAGGAUUCCCUCAGUAACGGCGAGUGAAGCGGGAAUAGCCCAGCACCGAAUCCCUCAGUGUCAUGCUGACGGGAACUGUGGUGUGUGGGACGCCACCAGUCGCAUCAGAGGGCGCCGAAGUCCUCCUGAUCGGGGCUUCACCCAGAGCGGGUGUAAGGCCUUUGCGGGUGCCUCUCUGUGCGGCCGCGAGCGUCUCA
rnacentral:rRNA from 1 species